GUGGGGAAUCUUCCGCAAUGGACGAAAGUCUGACGGAGCAACGCCGCGUGAGUGAUGAAGGUCUUCGGAUUGUAAAGCUCUGUUAAUCGGGACGAAAGAGCCUAGUGUGAAUAAUGCUAGGAAGUGACGGUACCGGAAUAGAAAGCCACGGCUAACUACAUGCCAGCAGCCGCGGUAAUACGUAGGUGGCAAGCGUUGUCCGGAAUUAUUGGGCGUAAAGCGCGCGCAGGCGGAUCUGCCAGUCUGUCUUAAAAGUUCGGGGCUUAACCCCGUGAUGGGAUGGAAACUACAGAUCUAGAGUAUCGGAGAGGAAAGUGGAAUUCCUAGUGUAGCGGUGAAAUGCGUAGAUAUUAGGAAGAACACCAGUGGCGAAGGCGACUUUCUGGACGAAAACUGACGCUGAGGCGCGAAAGCCAGGGGAGCGAACGGGAUUAGAAACCCCGGUAGUCC
rnacentral:rRNA from 1 species